rnacentral:rRNA from 1 species
CUGGGUUUGACAUGUUGGGGACAGCCGCAGAGAUGCGGUUUCCUUAUGGUCCCAUCACAGGUGGUGCAUGGCUGUCGUCAGCUCGUGUCGUGAGAUGUUGGGUUAAGUCCCGCAACGAGCGCAACCCUUGUCCUAUGUUGCCAGCGCGUAAUGGCGGGGACUCGUGGGAGACUGCCGGCGACAAGUCGGAGGAAGGUGGGGACGACGUCAAGUCAUCAUGCCCCUUAUGCCCAGGGCUGCAAACAUGCUACAAUGGCCGGUACAAAGGGCUGCGAAACCGUGAGGUCAAGCGAAUCCCAUAAAGCCGGUCUCAGUUCGGAUUGGAGUCUGCAACUCGACUCCAUGAAGCCGGAGUCGCUAGUAAUCCCGGAUCAGCAACGCCGGGGUGAAUA